GGCCUUCUAGCCAUCGCCGAUCCACAUUUCAUUUUCCAUUUGUUUUGUCUUUGUUUUCUACACACCUGGUUUCAAUUCCCCCAUUACAUGUUCAUUAUUUAACCCUCUGGUUUCCCCCAUGUUUGUGUGCGUGUUUGUUCUACUGUUCAGGCUGUUACUGACGGCUGGUUAUUUGUUGCCGGGUUUUGUUAUUUACGUCCGUUUAUUUCGUGGUACCGGUAUUUUUCCCGUACCGUAGUAUUGUGUUUAUACUGGUGUUAUCUUGUAUUAAAUACCUUUUCCACGCAUCUCAGCUCUCCUGCGCCUGACUCCUUUUACCAGUUACCCACAGCCUUGACAGCAUUUUCCCGAAGAUACUUGAAGAAAAAUACCAGGAGGAGACCCAGACUCUCAAAGUUUAAGAGUGAUUUGGGUGUAGGCGAUGAGACUCGGAAGUUCAGCAAUGGGCUAAUACAGAGGAAACAGCUGAGAACAUGGAUGGUCCCCAGGUACUACAGAGAACAAUUGAAGUCCUGUUUCUUAGCAUCAAACAAAGGAAACAGAACCUCUACCGUCAGACAGAUGGAUGCAAGAAACGACACCCUCUGCGCAGAAAGAUAUUGGAAGAAAAGGCCAAAUUAACAGCUGCCAUAGAGCUGUACAACACCCUUGUACCAGAUUCAGCAAUUAAAAAUUCAAAAGGCUCUCGCACAUCUGAGCAAUCUUUUUUGCAGGUGCAUGGUAACAGUUGGACAAGAUGAGGGAAAAAGGAAACCACACACUGCUCUUGAUAGAAUCACUGAUCUUUAAUGAACUUAUGUAUCGGCCUCACGGCCUUCGUUAGAGCUAUUGGCCGUGAGGCCGAUACUGUAAGCUUAUUAAAGAUCAGUGUGCAGUUUCCUUUUUCCCUCACCAGAUUCAGCAAUACCAUCUGCAGAUGAGAUCCUUUCCGCAGACCUUCAUGUAUGGCCUGGGAGCUGCAUUGACAAACUGACCUACUCACAAAGAAAAUAGCCUUUGACCGGGUGAUGCUCCUGAGACGACUGAAGGAGGAAGAGUUAAUUGUCCUAAAGGAAGUCAAGCAGCGCUGGGAAAGCCUAAAGAGGGAAUCGGAGAAUGUGCAAGACCUUGCUUCACAUGUGGCACUUGACCUAAGCAGGCAAAGCACCUGCAAGUUCCCGGACCUUUCUGGGGGGAAUGGCCCUAGCCCUCAUCCUCCGAUUCAACAGUGAGAUCCGGGCUUUUCGCUGGCCAUGGCAGAACACUGAUAUUCCUGUCUUGCAGGAAAUCACGCACAGAAUGAGCAGAAUGGCUGGUGGCAUUGUCAUGCUGGAGGGUCAUGUCAGGAUGAGCCUGCAGGAAGGGUACCACAUGAGGGAGGAGGAUGUCUUCCCUGUAACGCACAGCGUUAAGAUUGCCUGCAAUGUCAACAAGCUCAGUCCGAUGAUGCUG